GGCAUUAUGAUUUCAACAUGUAAGCAUGGUGACAACCUGGGUUUGGGGAAGAACAUAAAGUGAGGGGAUUUGUAAGAAAAGAGAAACAUGAAAUGAAAGCACUUUUUUUCUUUCACAACAGAACAGGUAGGGGUAAUGAAUCCAAUUCUAAAGUGCGGUACCAGAAUCACUUUGAUUGAUGGGUGGGGUCCCUGUUGGCCUGCUACCUCAUGGGGCGACCUAAAUCCGACAUAUUUCCGCCAUUGUUGAUCCGCAUUGCUAGAUUAAGUAACGUGCUAAU
rnacentral:lncRNA from 1 species